rnacentral:rRNA from 1 species
AUUGAACGCUGGCGGUAUGCUUUACACAUGCAAGUCGAACGGCAGCAUAGGUGCUUGCACCUGAUGGCGAGUGGCGAACGGGUGAGUAAUGCAUCGGAACGUGCCCAAUCGUGGGGGAUAACGCAGCGAAAGCUGUGCUAAUACCGCAUACGAUCUACGGAUGAAAGCGGGGGGACCUUCGGGCCUCGCGCGAAUGGAGCGGCCGAUGUUAGAUUAGGUAGUUGGUGAGGUAAAGGCUCACCAAGCCGACGAUCUAUAGCUGGUCUGAGAGGACGACCAGCCACACUGGAACUGAGACACGGUCCAGACUCCUACGGGAGGCAGCAGUGGGGAAUUUUGGACAAUGGGCGAAAGCCUGAUCCAGCAAUACCGCGUGCAGGAAAAAGGCCUGGUGGUAACUAGCUUUGUAC